UUUGAUAAAGAUCGUCGCAGACUUCUCUUAAUGUGAGGAAUACCAGGUAAGCGAAUAGCCAUGGAUGCUGUAAGAAUAUCAAGGAAAAGCAGGUCUAUUGGAAAUUUGGAAUUGAGAGAAAAUGUGUUAGCUUGGCGUUGGAUGGUACUUUGAGCUAAUAGAGGUGCAUAUUUAUAGAGGAAAUGAUAGUUGAUGACAAAUCCACUCAUCCUGAAGAUAAUUACAUAAACAUGCCUUGUGAAGCAUCACAUGGUUUUGCCUGGUAUCUAAAACUAGGUGGUCACAUUCAUCCAUUGUUGCGUGGCUGAAACAGCAUGCCCUACCAACAUCAAGAAACAAUGCUACAAUCAUGUUGUGAUAGCCAUACAUGGACCACUAACAAAAACUGUUGCGACAGCCAUACAAUUUCUUGUGGUAAGAACAAUCACGCUAACGGUUAGCUUAAACACAUUUAUACAAUUCAUAAAUGUGAAAGUUCAUCUGUCCCCUCAAGCUCAAGUGGGACUAUAUGGACAGAUAAUAGGCCAGAACCUGUCAGGUUAAUUGAUCCUGAUAAUUUGUUGCAAGACAGAUCCAUGUGAUCCUUCAGGAAGCAUCUCAUAAGCAACCCGACUUUCCUAAUAUUUCUUCAGCACAUUAUAGUUGAUAUAGGACUGCAGCUUCAAAGUUCUGACCUUAUGCAUGCAAGAUACUAGAGCUAAUAGAUAUGUAUAUAUAUACUUAUAUAGUGAGCAAUGAGGAUAUUGACCUUGACAAUAUCAAACACAGACAUGCCUUGUGAAGGAUUUGCAUAGUUUUGUCUGUGUAUUCAAUGUCAUGUACAGAGUUGCCAAAAUGAUAUAAGGUUCUCUUAUAACACAAAAUGGCCACUUAGAAAACAGAGUAAUGGCGGUGAGACGCUGGUAUCUAUAGCAAUCACCUAAUAUAGUCAAACACAGAAUACUGAAUACCAUAUACAUAUAAAGAUGAUUUGUAUUUUAAAUAGGACAAACUUGAACAUAUAUAAUACAGUCAUAAUUUAUAAAUCAUUAGGUUUAUUGGUGUUGACAAGAUAGUGAGGAAUGAGGAUACUGUACUUGACAAUUUCAAAGGUGUAGGAGUACUAGUUUUUGUCUUAGAUGUCAAGUACCAAGUACAGCGAAAUUAUGUAGGCUUUGUUUGCAGCAACAAGAAGCUGUAUCCUCACCUUGAAAACAUAGUUAUAAGUGACGAGCCUUCCUCAUUGGAAUCGAUACCCGCCCAAUAUGACAAAUAUAAGAAUCUCUGUCAAAGUUCUAGGUAACCUUUUAAGUGGUAUAAAUGUUUUGGAUUGAUAUUUCCAUAAACAAAGACAGUUAUAUAUAGCUAACAUCUAAAGUGUAAAGGACUCCCAGCCAGCAUCUAGCUAACAUCAUGCAAAUCUGAUUCUUUGCAGUUCACAUCCUCGAAUAUUGAAGGCUUGUGAGAAUCUCUGUUGACUGUCACAGACAAUUUAUGUAACAGUUCAUGAAGAUUUCUUUUAGCCGACGUGUACUCCUAGAACUAAAUAACCAUUGUCAACAGAAUAUGAACCCAAUGAAAUUCAGGCAAUACCGCAAUAGAGGGAUGCUAAUGAAGACAACCAAGUGGCGUUGAGGCAUUUCCAGGUGAUGAGAGAUGCUCUGUUCAACCAAGAGUAGACCCCUCGACAACUACAACAUUAAUUUCUAGGGAGGAAUCACUUAACAAAAUAAUACAGUAAGCUAGAGAUAACCACUGGUCAGUUUAGCGAGUGCUAAAUAAUACUUAUUCAAUCACUUGAGAAUAUUCAUACUGGACUAAUAUAGAGUAGUAGCAAAUAGUAUGAAAGGAAAAUUUCUAUUCAUUGAAGUUGUAAAAGAGAGACACUUGUUUCGGCCUCCCGUAUAUCUAAUACAAAAGUAUCUACAUGAUUGACAAAUCUAACAUCUAACAAAAUUGGAUUGUUUAAUUUGAAGGGUCUGCCUCCAUGGAACCAUAUUGCUGCAGUAUCUGGCUAUCUGACCAUCAUCUGACUUAUGAAGCAACCAACAGACUAGUUAGUUCGAUGAAAGAAUCUUCGUCGCAUGGGAUAGUUAGCCCUCCCAUUGGAUGAUUAAAACCAAAUUCUUCCUCGGCUUGAUUUAACAAGUCUUGGAACAAAGGAUGAGUUAAGUAUGAUAUUGGAACCACAAAUCGCCUUUUUUCAUUUGCUCCAACAUAUACUGCAAUGUGGCCUUUUGGGACUGUUAAUGUCUCUGAGUUUGAUAAAGAUCGUCUAAGACUUCUCUUGAUGUGAGGAAUACCAGGUAAUCUAAUAGCCAUGGAUGCUGCAAAGAUAACAAGAAUAAACGGAUGUGCUGGAGUAGAGAGAAUACUUGUUAAGUUGGAGUGGGAUAAUACUUUGAGCUGAUUGAGUUGUAUAUUUAUAGAGGAGCUUGAACACUUCCCUCAUCAUGAGAUUAAACACAGAAACAUGCCUUGUGACGCAUAACAUGGUUGUGCCUGAUAUCUAAUCUGGGUGGUCACACUGAUUCAUUGAUCUAUUGCAGAAACAGCAUGCCCUACCAAAAAGAAGACAACGCUACGGCCCCUGCUCAAAUUUAUACAUCAACCACCACAAAAAACAUUGAUGUAACAGCUAUACAUGUUCUUGUUGGAAGAAAUGGAUAUGUUAACUCGAGCAUUUAUACAAUUCUUAACUUUGAAAAUCCAUCAGCUCCCACCAAAUAUAUUUGGGAGAAAAUAAACAACAAUUUAUUGAAAGGGUCAUCCUGUAAUAUGUUCUAAUCAGCAAGAACUAAAUUAACAGACCAUAUAUUAAUCUAAGUUAGCCUAUUUGGACAGUUGAUAGGACACAAUGUGUCAAUUUGAAUGAUCCUAAUAAUGUGUUGCAAGGCAAAUCCAUGUGAUCAUUCAUGAUCGUGUCGCUAAAUCCACUCUACUUUAAAAAAAAACUCAUAAACACUAAAUCCACAUUUGAUGACUGCAGACUCAAAGCUCCGACUUUCUUUUAUGCUGAAUACAAGUCUAUUAUUUUUUUCGUUUGGAUAAGUUGUUAAUUUUAUUAAUAGUGGUAAAACAAGUAUAAUCCUUAUCAGCAUGUACGUGACGUACAUCGUCAGGUGAGGCCCUUAGGCAGUAGAUAUCAAGAUACAAGGAAAAUACAUUUAUUAAAAGAAGAAGGCAAUGUGGUAAGCAGUCUUAAACCUCUGCAGUAGCCAAACCAAGUGAUACAGAGCUUCAAAAGCCACACCCCUGCCAGGUGCACAAACAUUCAACAGCACCAGCAGCUUCCACAGCAACAGCAGCAGCACUAACUGUGAGCCAACACCAAGAAGAUCUUACAGUCUCAGAGGCUGCUACAUCAAAUUAAACAUGACGCCUACCAGCAAUGUUGAGCAAGCAAAACAACAACAGUAGUAAGGACAAACAGACCCAGAUCAGCCAUUUAAUACAUUGCUCCUGUUGAAGAUUAGUUCCUCAAAAUGCCUGCCCUCAUUCCUUAGAGCUCCUCCUAGCCAAAACCAAAUGAUUGCACAUUCUUGCCAAGUCAAGUUGCUUAUUUCUGAAUGGAUAAUGAGUAUAUCAUGGGAAGUACUAGCAUCUUCAACUAUGCAUCUAACGCAGUGCAUCGGAUUUUUUAUAAAGAGAUAACAAAACUGUUCCAUUAUGCUAUAUAUAUUUCUUUUCCCCAAACAUGUAUAUAUUUCGAUCACUACUUCUGACCAUAUUAGCAUCGCAUUACUAAAGGUUAUUGCCUAUUGGGGGAAUUCUGCUAUAAACCAUUCAGACAUGCUUCAUGAAAGAUCAAAUAACUAUGCCUUCUUAUGUUGAUAUGAAUCAUUCAAAGAUCAAAGUAAACAAUUUUUUUGAAUCCAUAUAUCAUUCUCAUCAGUAAAUACUGGAUAUAAAAAAUAAAUCAGAACAAAUAGUUGUAACAAGCAGUUUCUAUUCAUUGAUAUUGUAAAAGGGAGGCACUUGUAUUUUCGGCCUCCUGUAUCUCUAAUACAAAAGCUAAGUAUAUACAUGAUUGACAAAAUUGGAUGGUUCAGUUUGAAGGGACCAGCCUCCUUGGAACCAUAUUGCCGCAGUAUCUGUUCAUCAUCUGACUUAUGAGGUAAUCAACUGACCAGUUAGUUCUAUGAACGACUCUUCAUUGCAUGGGAUCGUUAGUCCUCCCAUUGGAUGAUUAAAUCCAAAUUCCUCCUCGGCUUGAUUUAACAACUCUUGGAAUAAAGGAUGACUCAAGUAUGAUAUUGGAACCACAAAUCGCCUCUUUUCAUUCUCUCCAACAUAUACUGCAAUGUGGCCUUUUGGGACUGUUAACAUCUCUGAGUUUGAUAAAGAUCGUCGCAGACUUCUCUUAAUGUGAGGAAUACCAGGUAAACGUAUAGCCAUGAUGCUGUAAGAAUAGCAAGAAAAUACAGGUCUAUUGGAAAUUUGGAACUGAGUGAAAAUGUGUUUGCUUGAAGUUGGAUGGUACUCUGAGCUAAUAGAGGUGUAUAUUUAUAGAGGAAAUGGUAGUUGACAAAUCCACUCAACAUGAAGAUAAAUGCAUAAACAUACCUUGUGAAGCAUCACAUGGCUUUGCCUGAUAUCUAAAACUGGGUGGUCACAUUGAUCCAUUGUUCUGUGGCUGAAACAGCAUGCCCUACCAACAAGAAAACAAUGUUACAAUCAUGUUGUGAACUUGUGAUAGGCAAUUAGCCUUACAUGGACUACUAACAAAAAUUGUUGUGACAGCCAUACAUUUUCUUGUUGCAAAGACACUCACGCUAACGUUUGGCUUAAACAGAUUUAUACAAUUCAUAAAUGUGAAAGUUCAUCUGUCCCCAUUAAAAAUAUUCGGAAAACAUCACCAGUCUGUAAUGUCUUCGAUUAGCAAGAACGUAACUCUAAACUCAAGUGGAGCUAUUUGGACAGAUAAUAGGCCACACAACCUGCCGAUAAUUUGUUGAUCCUGAUAAUUUGUUGCAAGACAAAUCCAUGUGAUCCAUGUCUCAUAACCAGCACUACCACUUUACCAAAUUUCUUCACCACAUAUCAUAGGACUGCAGUCUCAAAGCUCUGACGACUUUUUGUAUGCAAGAUACUAGCUCUGUGUAUAUAUAUAGUGAACAAAGAGGAUAUUGACCUUGACAAUAUCAAAGACAGACAUGCCUUGUGAAGGAUCACAUAGAUUUGUCUGCAUAUUCACUGCCAUGUACAUAGUUGCCAAAAUGGUGUAAGGUAGCGAUUGCCCGAGAUUGUCAAACACAAAGCUGAUUAGUUCCAACAUGAAAAAGUGUAUAAAAAGAUGAAUUAUAUUUUCUUUACGACAAACAUGAAAAUAUAAAAAUAUAGAAUACUGUCAUAAUAUAUAAAUCAUUAUGUGAGUUAAUUAUGUUUUUAAGAGUUGUCUUUAUUAAGAAUUGUUGACAUGAUAGUGAGGAAUGAGGAGAACUUGGUUUUUGUUUGAUAUAGAUUGUAGAAGUCAAGUACCAAGUACUAUGAAUUAUCUAGGCUUUGUUGCAGCAACAAGAUGCCGUACCCUCACCCAGAAAACAUAGUUAAAAGUGAUGAACCUUCCUCGUUUGAAUCGAAACUCGCCCAAUAUGACAAAAUAUAUGAAUCUCUGUUCUUGUUAGUAGCCUAAGUGGUAUACAUGUCAUGGAUUGGUUUUUCCAAAGAUAUAUAAAACAACUAACCAAAGUGUAAAAGACUGCCCAGCAUCUAGUGUUCACAUCCUUGAAUAAUGAAGGCAUGUGAGAAUCUCUGUCGACUGUCAAAGAUGUUAUAAUUAAGGCCACCUUACAAUUUGGCCACCUUACAAUUUUAUGUAGGGAUGAUAUGUGGUUUCUGAACCAACAUACAUUCCAAGGGCUAAAUAACCAUUGUCAACAGAAUUUGAACCCAUGAAGUUCAGUCAAUAAAGGGAUGCUAAUGAAGAGAACCAAGUUGGCGUUGAGGCAUUCCCAGGUAAAGAGAGCUGCUCUGUUCAACCAAGAGCAGUCCCCUCUGACAACUACAAUAUUAAUUUCAAGGGAGGAAUCACUUAGCAAAAUAACACAGUAAGCUAGAGUGCAAAUUGCAACCAUUAAUCAGUAUUUAGUGGGCGCAAAAUAACACUGAUUCAAUCACUUGAGAAAGUUCAUACUGUGAGAUACUGGACUAAUAUAGAGUAGUAGUGAAUAGUAGGAAAGAAGAAUUUCUAUUCAUUGAAGUUGUAAAAGGGAGACACAUGUUUUCGCCUCCCGUAUAUCUAAUACAAAAGUAUUUACAUGACUGGCUACUCUAACAUCUAACAAAAUUUGAUGAUUUAAUUUGAUGGGAUCAGCACACAAUGGCUAUCUGAUCACAUUCAACAAAUUCUGCCUUAUGAGGAAUUCAACAGACUAGUUAGUUCGAUGAAAGAAUCCUCGUCGCAUGGGAUAGUUAACCCUCCCAUUGGAUGAUUAAACCCAAAUUCUUCUUCAGCUUGAUUUAACAAGUCUUGGAACAAAGGAUGAGUUAAGUAUGAUAUUGGAACUACAAAUCGCCUUUUUUCAUUCUCUCCAACAUAUACUGCAAUGUGGCCUUUUGGGACUGUUAAUGUCUCUGAGCUUGAUAAAGACCGUCUAAGAGUUCUCUUGAUGUGAGGAAUUCCAGGUAAUCGAAUAGCCAUUGAUGCUGCAAAGAUAACAAGAAUAAACAGAUAUGCUGGAGUGGAGAGAUAACUUGUUAACUUGGAGGUGGAUAAUACUUUGAGCUGAUAGAGUUGUAUAUUUAUAGAGGAGCCAGAACAAUUCUCUCAUCAUGAGAUUAAACACAGAAACAUGCCUUAUGACACAUCACAUGGUUUUGCCCGAUAUCUAAUCUGGGUGGUCACACUGAUCCAUUGUUCUGUGGCAGAAACAGCAUGCCCUACCAAAAAGAAGACAACACUACGGCCCUUGCUCAAAUUUAUUCAUCAACCACUAGAAAGAACAUGAUGUAACAGCUAUACAUUUUCUUGUUGUGAGAAACGGAUAUGUUAGCUCGAGCAUUUAUACAAUUUUUAUCUGUGAAAAAUUCAUCAGUUCCUUACCGAAAAUGUUUGGGAGAAAACUUCAAUUUAUUGGAAGGGUCAUCCUGUAAUAUGUUCUAAUCACCAAAAACUAACAGACCAUAAACCUAAGUUGGCCUAUUUGGACAGAUGGUAGGACACAAUGUGUCAACUUGAAUGAUCCUAAUAAUGUGUUGCAAGGCAAAUCCAUGUGAUCUGACAUGAACAUGUCACUAAAUCCACCCUAUUUUCAACACUAAAUCCACAUUUCAUGACUGCAGACUCAAAGCUCUGACUUUCUUUUAUGUUGAAUGCAAGACUACCGCUAUAUAUGGAUUAUGAACAUAUCAACCGUCUUAAAGUUCCUCACAAACUCAAGUUUUGAAGCUUUAUUUGAUUAAAACCUUCCAGAAUCUUCUUACCUAAGCCUCAUAGAAAUCAUGAGUAAUCCACGAGUAUGGAAUGCUUUAUGCAGAAUUCUUCCACAAGCUUUGUCCCUUCCUGUUGCCACAAAUGUUCUGAAAAAGCACUUCCCAUUUUACAUAGGAGAGGAACAUCAUCAAAAAAUGAAACUUAGUUCCAAUAUCAAUACACAGAAAUGUGUUCCUCCCUACAUUUAGAAAAGAGAAUCGGCGUCAGCUUAGUUUAGCGCAGCCCUGUGUCCAUGUACUCUUAAAUAAAGUUCUGAGAUCAAUAAACAGAGCAAAUUACUCAUAAAUAAAGUUGAAGCUAACCAUUCACAUUACGUCCAUGUACUCUUCGAUUCCAAUUAUUCAAAUGUAAUAACAGACAGUUGUGUGGAUUGAUCUCAGAAUUUAAACCCAAGGAAGUUCUUCCAAUAGGGGAAUAUAAUAAAGACAAUAGUGUGAUUAAAGAAAUACUACAUACAGUAUUUGCCAAACUAGGUUUGCCGCGAUACAGUAUAAAGAAUUCAAACUCUUCACCAUUGUACACAAAAAAAUUGUUUUGCCUGACAAACUAUCAAAAAUGAACAUCAAGGAAACUUCCUAAGUCUCUACAGACUCAUUGAAUUUACCAGACACAAACAACAAAAUAAAUGUAUAUCACAAUCUCAUCAAUUAUUCAUUCCUAAGUAGCAAGGAAAAAAAGUAGUAUUGAUUAUGUUGUGAAAGGGAGAAACACUUGUGAUUAUUUUAUGCCUCCCAUGUCUCUUAUACAGAUACGUAUAUACAUGGAAACUCUAAUAGCUAAGAAAAUUGAUGGUUUAAUUUGAACAGACCAGUCCAGUAUAUUGCUGCACUCUGUGCUCAGCAUCUGACUUACAUCGAGUCAACUGACCAGUUAGUUUAAUGAAGGAGUCUUCAUCGCAUGGGAUCGUGAGGCCUCCCAUUGGGUGACUAAAUCCAUACUCUUCUUCAGCUUGGUUUAACAAGUGUUGAAAUAUGGGAUGGUUCAAGUAUGAUAUUGGAACCACAUAUCUCUUUUUUUUCUUUACUCCAACAUAUACAGCUAUGUGGCCUUUUGGUACAGUACUGGAAGUCUCCGUAUUGGAAUGAGACCUACGAGGACUUCUCUUAAUGUGAGGAAUACCAGGUAAACUGAUGGCCAUUCGUGUUAUAAGAAAUAAAAGAGUAAGAAAUGGAAUGUCAGAGGGUCUGGUAGAGAAGUUUUUAACUUGGAUAUAGAUGGUAUACUAAAGUGAAAUACUAUGUGUAUAUUUAUAGUGAGGAUAACCAAGAAAUUUCCAAAGGUCAAAGGUGUUGUGCCUUGUGAAAAAUCACAUUGGUUUUCUCUUAUAUCUUAUACAUCAUGUACGGAUUGGUGAAUUUAUCUAGGCUUUUAUGCAGCAACAAGAAUUUGUCGUACCUAGAAAACAAAAUUACAGUGAUGCUCUUUCUCAUUUAUAUCGAUGGCCUAUUAUAAGACAAACGUGGAUCUACAAAAAUUUCUGUAAAGUCGGGCAUGAAAACAAAGUUACAGUUAUGCUUCUCUCAUACUCUCUCACAAUCAGAUUCUCAAAAUAAGCAGGCCAUCAAUAAUUUACUUCAUUCUUACCAAAGUAAGUUGGGGUUAUGGCAGAGUCCACCAUGAUUGAAGAUUGGAACUAUCACCAAUGCCACUAACUGUAUUUGGAACUCUCAUUAACCAUCCAAUGAUUUCAAAACAUUCACUGUGACAUAGCACUAGGACUCAUCCACACAUUGCAUCUAAUAUCUCAGUUAUAACUGUCACAAUAAAUAUACACAUCGUAUCUGUACAUCACAGUAUACCGACAUACAAGAACAGAGCUAUUUUCAUAAUAUUUGUCGAUAUGCUUUAUGGAAGUAAAUAAAUAUGUAUAAGCAAGCCACAAAUGGGUCAUUCGAAACAAGUUUCUAGCAAAACAAGCCAAAGAAUCAGUAUAUCAAUCAAAGGUAGAGGCUUCCUUUAUCAAUUAAUUACUCAACAGAAAUAAAUCAAAAGGAGUUUCUAUUCAUUGGUCAAAGGGAGAAAUUUUUGUAUAGACCUCCCAUAUCUCGUAUACAUAACUAUGUACAUGAUUAACAAUCUAACAUCUAACAAAAUUGGAUGGUUUUGCCUGUGGGAACCAGACCCCAUGGAACCAUAUUGCUGCAGUAUCUGCCAUCAUCUGACUUAUGAGGCAAUCAACUGACCAGUUAAUUCUAUGAAUGACUCUUCAUUGCAUGGGAUCGUUAAUCCUCCCAUUGGAUGAUUAAAUCCAAAUUCCUCCUCGGCUUGAUUUAACAAAUCUUGGAAUAAAGGAUGACUCAAGUAUGAUAUUGGAAUCACAAAUCGCCUCUUUUCAUUCUCUCCAACAUAUACUGCAAUGUGGCCUUUUGGGACUGUUAACAUCUUCGAGUUUGAUAAAGAUCGUCUCAGAUUUCUCUUAAUGUGAGGAAUACCAGGUAAGCGUAUAGCCAUGGAUGCUGUAAUAAUAGCAAGAAAAUACAGGUCUAUUGGAAAUUUGGAAUUGAGAGAAAAUGUGUUUGCUUGGAGUUCGAUGAUACUCUGAGCUAAUAGAGGUGUUUAUUUAUAGAGGAGAUGGUAGUUGACAAAUCC
rnacentral:lncRNA from 1 species